GACGAACGCUGGCGGCGUGCUUAACACAUGCAAGUCGAACGGAAAGGCCCUGCUUUUGUGGGGUGCUCGAGUGGCGAACGGGUGAGUAACACGUGAGUAACCUGCCCUUGACUUUGGGAUAACUUCAGGAAACUGGGGCUAAUACCGGAUAGGAGCUCCUGCUGCAUGGUGGGGGUUGGAAAGUUUCGGCGGUUGGGGAUGGACUCGCGGCUUAUCAGCUUGUUGGUGGGGUAGUGGCUUACCAAGGCUUUGACGGGUAGCCGGCCUGAGAGGGUGACCGGCCACAUUGGGACUGAGAUACGGCCCAGACUCCAACGGGAGGCAGCAGUGGGGAAUAUUGCACAAUGGGAGGAAGCCUGAUGCAGCAACGCCGCGUGCGGGAUGACGGCCUUCGGGUUGUAAACCGCUUUCGCCUGUGACGAAGCGUGAGUGACGGUAAUGGGUGAAGAAGCACCGGCUAACUACGUG
rnacentral:rRNA from 1 species